rnacentral:rRNA from 1 species
UUUAGAGGUAAACGGGAGAAAUCCGAAAAUCUGAAGGAAGUGAUUCACGUAUUAUCUACAUUAUAUUUUAUACUUUGAUGAUGAUUUUUAAGCUCCUCAAGUGCAAUUUUAUUGUACUAUAAAGGAUUCCGUUUAAUAUCACAUUUUGUAUAAAAAUUAUUAUAAUGUGGUUUACCGCAUUUCAAACCUUCCUUAAAACAGAAAAUGUCGCAACCCAUUGGAUUGCAAUUUUAAGAAAUUUUAGGUUAGCCUCAUAGAAAACUUGCAUUUCGGUGUAUAGUCUAUUUUUUAUGAGACCUAAAAAAUUUCCAAUUGAUUAUCCGAUGGUAUCAAUAAAAAAUAAAAAGAUUAACCCGCGCCACACACGGACGCGUUUGAUUAUAUUUAUAAAUUAUUUAUAUUUCAUAUGUUAUUUAUAUAUCUUUUGUUCGGUCCAAAAGGCCCGUCUUAAGGUUAACAUUGAAUAUAGAUAUAUUCUCAAACAGUGGUUAUUCUUUGUUUGCGGCAAAUAUGUUUCGGAAUUUCGCCCGACCC